GACGAACGCUGGCGGCGUGCCUAAUACAUGCAAGUAGAACGCUGAAGGAGGAGCUUGCUUCUCCGGAUGAGUUGCGAACGGGUGAGUAACGCGUAGGUAACCUGCCUGGUAGCGGGGGAUAACUAUUGGAAACGAUAGCUAAUACCGCAUAACAGUAGAUGUUGCAUGACAUUUGCUUAAAAGGUGCAAUUGCAUCACUACCAGAUGGACCUGCGUUGUAUUAGCUAGUUGGUGAGGUAACGGCUCACCAAGGCGACGAUACAUAGCCGACCUGAGAGGGUGAUCGGCCACACUGGGACUGAGACACGGCCCAGACUCCUACGGGAGGCAGCAGUAGGGAAUCUUCGGCAACGGACGGAAGUCUGACCGAGCAACGCCGCGUGAGUGAAGAAGGGUUUCGGAUCGUAAAGCUCUGUUGUAAGAGAAGAACGAGUGUGAGAGUGGAAAGUUCACACUGUGACGGUAUCUUACCAGAAAGGGACGGCUAACUACGUG
rnacentral:rRNA from 1 species